UACGGAGGGGGCUAGCGUUGUUCGGAAUUACUGGGCGUAAAGCGCGCGUAGGCGGCUUUGUAAGUUAGAGGUGAAGGCCCGGAGCUCAACUCCGGAACUGCCUUUAAGACUGCAUCGCUAGAAUUGUGGAGAGGUGAGUGGAAUUCCGAGUGUAGAGGUGAAAUUCGUAGAUAUUCGGAAGAACACCAAUGGCGAAGGCGACUCACUGGACACAUAUUGACGCUGAGGUGCGAAAGCGUGGGGAGCAAACAGG
rnacentral:rRNA from 1 species